rnacentral:rRNA from 1 species
UACGUAGGGUGCGAGCGUUGUCCGGAUUUAUUGGGCGUAAAGGGCUCGUAGGCGGCGUGUCGCGUCGGAAGUGAAAGACCGGGGCUUAACCCCGGUUCUGCUUCCGGUACGGGCAUGCUGGAGUGUGGCAGGGGAGACUGGAAUUCCUGGUGUAGCGGUGGAAUGCGCAGAUAUCAGGAGGAACACCGGUGGCGAAGGCGGGUCUCUGGGCCAUUACUGACGCUGAGGAGCGAAAGCGUGGGGAGCGAACAGG